UUAGCUAGCAUGCAUUCCCCAUGUAUACACUCGCUAAAAACUCGUUAUUAACAAGUGCAAUGAAUUAAUUUGUAAACCGUAAGUUAUUACAGUAAGGGAACAUUAAAACCAAAAUUUGCCGCCGUCGUACAAGAGUUGUACGAACCAGGAGGCAUUGGACAUUCCCUUAGAAUGGCUGCAGCAACGCCGUUAGCUAGCAUGCAUUCUCCAUGUAUACACUCGCUAAAAACUCCGCUAAAACGUCACAUCCACUCUUUGCGUUUUCAUAUGACCAGGAAUGUCUACCGUUGUGCUUUGACUAUUUUUACAAGGGUUAAAGCCGCAAGCGGCGUUGGGAGGGGUCCAAGCAUUGGCACAAUUGCGCCCCCUAUGGAGUGAUUUUUAAAUAGUUUUGUCCUCAUGAUCAUAUACCUUCACCCAACAUAUCUACUGCAUCGCCAUGGAUGUCUCCAAGCCACUAGGCGUAAAGGCCUUUACUAUGUCACUACGCAAAAGUAUAAAACAGCAUUUAGAUGGUCCGGCGUGUAUGUAGAGCUGCAGCGCUUCCGCGCCGCAACUAAAAUAAGCGUCAGACACAUACUGCAAUCCAUUACUCAGCUUAGCAGAGAAUGCACAUUUCAGAGCGCCUCAGAGAUAGAUAGAAUAAUAACACAUAAAUACACAUUUCAAAUAAUAACUACAACAUUGAGAAAAAAUAAAACUAAAGAUUAAAUAUCAACUCUCGACCUGCGUGCUGCGCGCAGAGUAGCCUACCGCAUUAUUUAUUUAGACAUUGGCAGAUAAGAAAAUUUUUGGUUACGCUGACCUAUAAAAUGCUAUUCCAAAAGCAAAACAGACAAGUUAUACAUUGUUAGAAAACUUAUACUCUCACCUACUGAAUAAAUGAAUUGUCAAUCAAUCCAAAUUGUACUAAAAAGGGCGACGACGCCGUAAACAACAGGUGUGGUAUUACGCACAGCUAUUUUUGAAGGUAACCUACCCUAGCAUCACGAAUGUGCGUAUAUUUCACGAACGGAUUGUCCAAGACAAUAUAUGACCACUCAGUCUCAAAAGGGACAUCUCUACGCGUACAAUCAAUGGUAAGAUUGUAUAUUUAUUCAAUGUUUAGUCCCAGAUAUUGAUUGUAGAAUGACAUGACAUAUAUUUUAAUUUUUAACCUUGUCUCGUUUAUUUCGUUAUUCAGUGAGCAGCGUUUUCACUUCUGUAUUGGCAUAUUGUAGGGCUAAUGUCGGGUUUAUCUUGUUGCUACGGAAUACUGUAAUCUUUUCUUGCAUAGGUUCAGAUAGUCCUCAUCUAGUGACUCCUCAAUUCGGGGAAGUUGGGUUUGCAUUUUUUCGAGUUUUUGCGUUUAGUUGCCUAUAAUCAACACACAUCCUCAUGGCUGCACACUUCUUCACUAUGACUAAAGGAGAAGAAUAGGGACUGCAACUCUCUCGUAUUACUCCCUGCUCUAACCGUUGUCUAAUGUGUGCUUUUACCUCCUCAUACUGAAUAGGCUGCAGCCUAAGGUAGCGUUGGCAAACAUGAGCCUCAUCUGUUACAGGGAUGUCGUGUUGGAUGACAUUGGUGCAACCUAGAUCAUCAUUAUCCCUAGCAAAAACAUCAGCAUGUUUCAGCAACAAGUCCUGCAUGAGCUCUUUGAUCUUGCAAUAAACCACAAGACUCAUGAUGUGUCAAGUUACUAGACCCAACUAUUGGAUCUUUAAUGUCAUUGUCAGAGUAAUUCUGCUCUUCCGAGAACAGAACUAUUUCCUCCUGAGGGCCUACUCUUUGAAAAAGUAUAGAAGUCUGGUCACCUCACACACACCUCAGCACUAUAAAGAGCUGCUAUUCUCAUACGGGGUUCCAAUGCAACAUCCGUUACCCCGACAUUUAAUACAGAGAAAAUCAACUGGCCAUCUUCAAUCCAAACAUAUGCACUUGAUGCCACUAGAUUGCUGGGCAAGGACCCCUCAUUUCUCCCUAGAGGUUCCACAAGAGCAGAGUAGCUUGUAGUAAUGCGAUCCUGAAACCCAGUGGAAACCAGGAAUUUAGCCAUUAAACAUAGCAAAAAAUUUGAACAACAAAGAAAUCUUAAAGAGAAGGAGCUAAUGAAUAAACUUGACAUCCUUAUCUCAAGAACAGGAAGAUGAACUUAAAAUAUUACAGAUGAAAUUGGAGGAUUUAUAUAUGGAACUAGCAAAACGAACCUUCAUAAGAUCCAGGGCAAA